AAGGCAAUGAUCUGCUAUACAGAGUAUGGAGAAUUAAGAAUAGUCAUCUGAAGUAAGGGAGGGAAGAGAAUGUCAAACUGGUUCCCCUGAUGAUGACUUUAUGUGCGACCAAAGCCUGCAGACAAUGCAAAUGGUAUUCCUUAUGUUAAUAUACGUCCUGUUCCAUACAUCAAGCAAGCUUAAAAAGUUAUUCUGCCACUUCAGAUAUAAAACUUGGGAAGUUAGUUUUCUCAAACUGUUAUUUCUGCAGAGAAAGAUAACCAAAACGAUUCACUCCAAUUCAGAUUCA